CGCGUGCGGUGCGUUGCGUGUGUUUUUCUCGUCUCGUCUGAUUGGAAAACGUGCGACGGGUUUCUUUGACGGAAAUCGUAAUACCAAAACACCGUUGGCAAAAUCAUAAAUAGAAAUUAUCAUAUAUAUACAUAAAUAUAUAUAUGCGCGAGUGUGUGUAUAUGCAUAUACAAAUUUGUGUCGUAUAUUGUGCAUAAUAAAAGAGGCAGCAAUGGUGCCAGCCAUUUGUGUUUAGCAGUGAUUGCAAAACUAAACAAAGCGAACGGAAAAACUUCGCCGCACACUGAAA